AUGAUGAUUUAGAUAUGUUUAUGGUUAAAUUUCUGAUCAAUGUUGAAGAAACUAUCUAGGGCGGUCUGAGGUA